rnacentral:rRNA from 1 species
UUAAACUUUUUAUUGAGAGUUUGAUCCUGGCUCAGGACGAACGCUGGCGGCAUGCCUAACACAUGCAAGUCGAGCGAGCUGAUCCCUUAGGGGUGAAGCUAGC